rnacentral:rRNA from 1 species
UACGUAGGGUGCAAGCGUUAAUCGGAAUUACUGGGCGUAAAGCGUGCGCAGGCGGUUGUGCGAGACAGAUUUGAAAUCCCCGGGCUCAAACUGGGAACUGCAUUUGUGACUGCACGGCUGGAGUGCGGCAGAGGGGGAUGGAAUUCCGCGUGUAGCAGUGAAAUGCGUAGAUAUGCGGAGGAACACCGAUGGCGAAGGCAAUCCCCUGGGCCUGCACUGACGCUCAUGCACGAAAGCGUGGGGAGCAAACAGG